rnacentral:rRNA from 1 species
GACGAGCAUCACAAACGUUAUUCGGAAUUACUGGGCUUAAAGGGUGCGUAGGCGGUGUAGCAAGUCGGGAGUGAAAUCCCGCAGCUCAACUGCGGAAUUGCUUUCGAUACUGCUGCGCUUGAGUGAGAUAGAGGUAAGCGGAACUUAGGGUGGAGCGGUGAAAUGCGUAGAUAUCGAGAGGAACACCAGUGGCGAAGGCGAGUCCCUGGACAACACCUGACACUGAGGCACGAAAGCUAGGGGAGCAAACAGG